rnacentral:rRNA from 1 species
UUAGCCUACGGGACGCAGCAGUGAGGAAUAUUGGUCAAUGGACGCAAGUCUGAACCAGCCAUGCCGCGUGCAGGAUGACGGCUCUAUGAGUUGUAAACUGCUUUUGUACGAGGGUAAUAUCGGAUACGUGUAUCUGCUUGAAAGUAUCGUACGAAUAAGGAUCGGCUAACUCCGUGCCAGCAGCCGCGGUAAUACGGAGGAUCCAAGCGUUAUCCGGAUUUAUUGGGUUUAAAGGGUGCGUAGGCGGUCUGUUAAGUCAGCGGUAAAAUUGCGGGGCUCAACCCCGUCGAGCCGUUGAAACUGGC